rnacentral:lncRNA from 1 species
GGGAGCCGGACUUCAUCCCCGACUUCUACUGCAAGUGAACUUCAUCCGGACUCCUACGGGAGCCGGACUUCGUCCCCAACUUCUACUGCAGGCAUACUUCGUCCGGACUCCUACGGGAGCUGGAUUUCGCCCCCGACUUCAAUUACAGAUAGACUUCGUCUGGACUCCCACGGGAGCCGGACUUCAUCCCCGAUUUCUACUGCAGGUGAACUUCAUCCGGACUCCUACAGGAGCCGGACUUCAUCCCCGACUUCAAUCGCAGAUGGCCUCGCCUAUAGUACUAACGCUCAAGGCACCCAACGGUGGAUAGCCCGCCAGCAACAUCCGAGCUCCUUCCAGAUGGAUAGGCACCUCUCUCCGCCAGGCGCUUCAAUCAAGCUUCGACCGACAGGCCUGGACUCCC